AGAGUUUGAUCAUGGCUCAGGACGAACGCUGGCGGCGUGCUUAACACAUGCAAGUCGAACGAUGAAGCUCCAGCUUGCUGGGGUGGAUGAGUGGCGAACGGGUGAGUAAUGCGUGAGUGACCUGCCCCCUUCUUCGGGAUAAGCCUUGGAAACGGGGUCUAAUACCGGAUAUUCCCAUCACGGGGCAUCUUGUGGUGGGGAAAGUUUUUUCGGUGGGGGAUGGGCUCGCGUCCUAUCAGCUUGUUGGUGGGGUGAUGGCCUACCAAGGCGUCGACGGGUAGCCGGCCUGAGAGGGUGACCGGCCACACUGGGACUGAGAUACGGCCCAGACUCCUACGGGAGGCAGCAGUGGGGGAUAUUGCACAAUGGGCGCAAGCCUGAUGCAGCGACGCCGCGUGAGGGAUGAAGGCUUUCGGGUUGUAAACCUCUUUUACUAUCGAACAAGGCAUGGUUUUUGCUGUGUUGAGGGUAGGUGGUGAAUAAGCGCCGGCUAACUACGUGCCAGCAGCCGCGGUAAUACGUAGGGCGCGAGCGUUGUCCGGAAUUAUUGGGCGUAAAGAGCUCGUAGGCGGCUUGUCGCGUCUGCUGUGAAAUCCUGGGGCUUAACUCUGGGCGUGCAGUGGGUACGGGCAGGCUAGAGUGCGGUAGGGGUGAUUGGAAUUCCUGGUGUAGCGGUGGAAUGCGCAGAUAUCAGGAGGAACACCGAUGGCGAAGGCAGGUCACUGGGCCGUUACUGACGCUGAGGAGCGAAAGCAUGGGGAGCGAACAGGAUUAGAUACCCUGGUAGUCC
rnacentral:rRNA from 1 species